rnacentral:rRNA from 1 species
UACGUAGGGUGCAAGCGUUGUCCGGAAUUAUUGGGCGUAAAGAGCUCGUAGGCGGUUUGUCGCGUCUGCCGUGAAAGUCCGGGGCUCAACUCCGGAUCUGCGGUGGGUACGGGCAGACUAGAGUGAUGUAGGGGAGACUGGAAUUCCUGGUGUAGCGGUGAAAUGCGCAGAUAUCAGGAGGAACACCGAUGGCGAAGGCGGCUCACUGGUCCAUUACUGACGCUGAGGUGCGAAAGCGUGGGGAGCAAACAGG